rnacentral:piRNA from 1 species
UAGGAAUGACAACUGCGGUGUCCACUCCU